GACGAACGCUGGCGGCGUGCUUAACACAUGCAAGUCGAACGAUGAAGCCGGAGCUUGCUCUGGUGAAUUAGUGGCGAACGGGUGAGUAACACGUGAGUAACCUGCCCUUGACUCUGGGAUAACUGCGGGAAACUGUAGCCAAUACCGGAUACGACCCUCGGAGGCAUCUCCUGGUGUUGGAAAGAAUUUCGGUCAAGGAUGGACUCGCGGCCUAUCAGCUAGUUGGUGAGGUAAAGGCUCACAAAGGCGUCGACGGGUAGCCGGCCUGAGAGGGUGACCGGCCACGCUGGGAAUGAGAAACGACCCAGACGCCUACGGGAGGCAGCAGUGGGGAAUAUUGCACAAUGGGCGCAAGCCUGAUGCCGCAACGCCGCGUGGGGGAUGACGGCCUUCGGGUUGUAAACCUCUUUUAGCAGGGAAGAAGCGAAAGUGACGGUACCUGCAGAAAAAGCACCGGCUAACUACGUGCCAGCCGCCGCGGUAA
rnacentral:rRNA from 1 species